AUGAACGCUAGCGGCAGGCUUAACACAUGCAAGUCGAGGGGCAGCAUGACGGAACCUUCGGGUUUUGUUGAUGGCGACCGGCGCAAGGGUGCGUAACGCGUGAGCAACUUGCCCGUUUCAGGGGGAUAACCGGUGGAAACGCCGACUAAUGCCUGAUGUUCUCAUGUUGCCGCAUGGCGAUAUGAGCAAAGAUUCAUCGGUACGGGAUGGGGAUGCGUAUGAUUAGCUUGUUGGCGGGGUAACGGCCCACCAAGGCAACGAUCAUUAGGGGUUCUGAGAGGAAGGUCCCCCACACUGGAACUGAGACACGGUCCAGACUCCUACGGGAGGCAGCAGUGAGGAAUAUUGGUCAAUGGUCAGACGACUGAACCAGCCAUGCCGCGUGAAGGUCACGGCCCUAUGGGUCCUAAACUUCUUUUGUAAGGGAGCAAUAAGGGUCACGUGUGGCCUGAUGAGAGUACCUUACGAAUAAGCAUCGGCUAACUCCGUG
rnacentral:rRNA from 1 species